AGAGAGAGAGAGAGAGAGAGAGAGAGAGAGAGAGAUGCAGAAAGGGAGAAAGAAUGUAUUGCUUCCUUUUCUCCUCCUCCUCCUCCUCCUCGACAUAAAAGAUAAGAACGACAACAAUGCAAGAAGAGAGAAGGGAGAAGAGAAGAUUCCUCCUCCUCCUCUUCUUCUUCCUCUUUAUCCUUCUCCUCCUCUCCAUAAGGGAAGGAAAACACAAGGCAGACAGUAAUAUGGAAACGAAAAAGAACGCGAGGAGAGAAAAGAAGAAGAGAGAAGACUUGCUACUAUUACGAACUCCUCUUCUCCUCCUCCUCCUCCUCCUCUUCUUCAUAAAGGAAAGAAAGAACAAGGAAGACAGUAAUAUGGAAACGAGAAAGAACGCACAAAAAAAAAAAAAAAAAAAAAAAAAAGACGCUAUUACCAACUCCUCCUCCACCUCUUCCUCCUCCUCCUCACACGCCAUCUGGACGCAUCCCAGGUGUAGUUUCCCCGCUCUCAGCCAGGUAAAAACAGCACAGAGGCGUGACAGUGACCACCCCGCAGACACCCGCCGCUCACGACUUCGACCACACCUCAGCACUUGGGUUCCUCCUCUCCGCUACGUCGACGCAGGUAACCAUCAUCUGCUCACCUGUCUACAAGUGUCUACUCAGGCGAGAUCGUACCUGAGAUGAAAAGGAAAGGACUGACUCACUGGCUGAAUGGCUGGGUCGCUACCUGUUCAAUUAACCAACAGAUACACCUCUCCUAUACACCUGUAGCGGAUGUGUUUGUGCCUACCUGGUCAACCCUUCAAGAUACUACGAAUCUUCACACCUAGAUUGACUGAUUGGUUACUUGCUCCAUCCCUCCUCGACGUUACGCCAAAGGAAAACCUGUUAUAUGUUACUUUCAAUGUCUCGCUCGCAUACUAUCAUUACUCCACUAAAGGGAAAGUGAAGUGGCUAGCUGGGUGUGUGUCUGACUGGCUGGCUGGGUGACCGGGUGCUAGCUAAGAAAAACUUGCCGUGCUGAGGUCCGCGCAUGAUAAGAAAAACUGCUAAAGAACGACCGGAAAAUAAACGACUGGAUUUGAUUGCGGUGAUGUAAUGCGCGUUUUUUCUGUUUCGAAAGUGAGAUAAAAAAGCUAAGUAGACCAAGAAAUGAUGAUGGACUGAGAAACGAAGAAAUGGGGUCCGCCCGUGAUAAGAAAAACUGCUAAAGAACGACCGGGAAAUAAACGAUUGGAUUUGAUUGAUGUCAUGUAAUGCGCGUUUUUUUUUUUUGUUUGAAAAGUGAGAUAAAAGAGCUAAGUAGACCAAGGGAUGACGAGAGGCUGAAAAAACUUGUCGAAUUGAGGUACACACGUGAUAAGAAAAACUGAUGAAGAACCGACGGAAAAUAAAAGACUGGAUUUAAUUAAGAUGUGAUGUGUCUUUGUUUGAAAAUAAAUAGAAAAAAAGCAUGGAGAUUAAGCAAUGGUUGACUGAAAAAAAUUAGUGAACCUGAUGUAUAUGAAAAAUGACGUGAUAAGAGAACUGUGGAAUAGAAGACUGAAUUAAAUUGGGGUGAUACGAUGCGUUUGUGUUUGAAAUAAAGUGAGAUAAAAACUAAGAGGUAAAGAAGUGAAGAUGGCCUUGGAAUGAGAUGAAAACUGAUUACAAGGAUGUGAGCCUUAUAAAAAAAUGAUGCAGCUUUACUGAAAAAGAUAAAAGAAUACAUGUAGAAAUAUAUUGAAAAGAAGAUGGAAAAAAAAUUACGACCACGAGGAGAUUACGAAAGAGUCAAGAUGUUUUUAGAUAUUAUGAAAACUGAGUGAGUACAGGACUUUACACGUUAUUAAGAUGCUGAACAUGUAGAUAGAAAAAAAAUGAGGAGCAAGAAAAUGGAAGAAAUUACAAAACGAUAAAGAAGACGCAUGCUAUAAAAAGAAAUAAAAAACUGAAAGAACAAAUGAAGGUUUCGCUGAAUGUUACGCAGUAUGAAAAAGACAUGCGUAAAGUUAUUAAUAAAGACAAUAUAGACAAAAAUAAAUGCUUCGUGUGACGCGAGUUCGAUAUUUUGAGGUGUACUAAUUAAUACAUACACGAUAACUUUACCUGCCGAAGUGUUAAUUAGCGAAGAAAAGGUGAAUGGAAACAAAUGAAGGUGUAAAAUGACAGUUAUCAAAGAAAGAAAAAAAGGUAAUAACAGAUACAUAUUGUCGAGAGUGAUAUAGAUAAUUAGAUGAACUGAGGCGACAUCCAUUAGUCUUCCAAGGUUGAGGUUACUUCUAUAUAUAAACUCACAGGUGUAAAUAGUGUUAAAAUAAGUGCAUAGAGGAAACAAAGGGAAAGGAAAACAGAACGUAAUGAAAUGUUAAUGUGCCAAAGCUUAAAUAGUAAAACAAUAGACGAAAAUAAUAACAAGAAGUGUGAAAGAAAGCAAUUGAAAGUAA